rnacentral:rRNA from 1 species
CAUAACCCCGGGAAACUGGGGAUAAUACCGGAUAACGCAUAUGUGCUGGAAUGCUUUAUGCGUAAAACGGAUUCGUCCGCCCAAGGAUGGGUCUGCGGCCUAUCAGGUAGUAGUGGGUGUAAUGUACCUACUAGCCAACAACGGGUACGGGUUGUGAGAGCAAGAGCCCGGAGAUGGAUUCUGAGACAUGAAUCCAGGCCCUACGGGGCGCAGCAGGCGCGAAAACUUUACAAUGCGGGAAACCGUGAUAAGGGAACACCGAGUGCCAGCAUCAUAUGCUGGCUGUCCAGAUGUGUAAAGUACAUCUGUUAGCAAGGGCCGGGCAAGACCGGUGCCAGCCGCCGCGGUAACACCGGCGGCCCGAGUGGUGACCGUUAUUAUUGGGUCUAAAGGGUCCGUAGCCGGUUUGGUCAGUCCUCCGGGAAAUCUGAUAGCUUAACUGUUAGGCUUUCGGGGGAUACUGCCAGGCUUGGAACCGGGAGAGGUAAGAGGUACUACAGGGGUAGGAGUGAAAUCUUGUAAUCCCUGUGAGACCACCUGUGGCGAAGGCGUCUUACCAGAACGGGUUCGACGGUGAGGGACGAAAGCUGGGGGCACGAACCGGAUUAGAUACCCGGGUAGUCCCAGCCGUAAACUAUGCUCGCUAGGUGUCAGGCAUGGCGCGACCGUGUCUGGUGCCGCAGGGAAGCCGUGAAGCGAGCCACCUGGGAAGUACGGCCGCAAGGCUGAAACUUAAAGGAAUUGGCGGGGGAGCACAACAACGGGUGGAGCCUGCGGUUUAAUUGGACUCAACGCCGGACAACUCACCGGGGGACGACAGCAAAAUGUAGGCCAGGCUGAAGACCUUGCCUGAAUCGCUGAGAGAGGUGCAU